rnacentral:lncRNA from 1 species
CUUGAACCAAAGCUUGGAAUAUUUUCCUAGCUCUGCUCUCUAUUAUUAUGGAUUCUUCUUUUAGCUGCAUUUUUCAUUCACCCAUGCAACUCUAAACUAGAAAAUAUCAGACAUUUUACUACAACAAGUAGUUAGGUGACAUUAAAACAGAAUGUUAUAAGCUGAAAAAUAAAAACAUGAAGGCAACUAAGAGCGACGAGGA